GAUGAACGCUGGCGGCGUGCCUAAUACAUGCAAGUCGAGCGAACAGACGAGGAGCUUUCUCCUCUGACGUUAGCGGCGGACGGGUGAGUAACACGUGGAUAACCUACCUAUAAGACUGGGAUAACUUCGGGAAACCGGAGCUAAUACCGGAUAAUAUAUUUAACCGCAUGGUUCAAUAGUGAAAGACGGUUUUGCUGUCACUUAUAGAUGGAUCCGCGCCGCAUUAGCUAGUUGGUAAGGUAACGGCUUACCAAGGCAACGAUGCGUAGCCGACCUGAGAGGGUGAUCGGGCACACUGGAACUGAGACACGGUCCCGACUCCUACGGGAGGCAGCAGUAGGGAAUAUUACGCAAUGGGCGAAAGCCUGACGGAGCACCGCCGAGUGAGUGAUGAAGAUCUUCGGAUCGUAAAACUCUGUUAUUAGGGAAGAACAAAUGUGUAAGUAACUAUGCACGUCUUGACGGUAACUAAACAGAAAGCCACGGCUAACUACGUG
rnacentral:rRNA from 1 species